UACGAAGGGGGCUAGCGUUGUUCGGAAUCACUGGGCGUAAAGCGCACGUAGGCGGCUUGUUAAGUCAGGGGUGAAAUCCCGGAGCUCAACUCCAGAACUGCCUUUGAUACUGGCGAGCUUGAGUCCAGGAGAGGUGAGUGGAACUGCGAGUGUAGAGGUGAAAUUCGUAGAUAUUCGCAAGAACACCAGUGGCGAAGGCGGCUCACUGGCCCGGUACUGACGCUGAGGUGCGAAAGCGUGGGGAGCAAACAGG
rnacentral:rRNA from 1 species